rnacentral:lncRNA from 1 species
CUGGGGUAUAGAAAUAUGGUCACUUGGUCUUCUCCCGACCGGCAGUAAAACGCUUGCCGAAGUGGGGCGUCCGUUUGGCUGUGCGGGAUGUAUCAAGUUCGCAGUCACGUCCGGUCAGAAGGGGACGUUAAAUCCGAUGCCUCGUGUAAAGAGAGUGCCACGCUCUUUGCACGUUAAGAACCCUUGCAACAACUCUUUGGAGGAGUCCGUAGGUGGCCUGUUGCAAGGCAAAAUUUCUGUCCCUAUCCAAUAUACCCA